rnacentral:piRNA from 1 species
UAAUGAUUACUGUCAACAUUA